rnacentral:lncRNA from 1 species
UGGUGGUAGUAGUAGUAGUAGUAAUGAUGAUGGCAGUGAUAGCAGUUUAGUGAUGGUGGUGGUAGUAGUAGUAAUGAUGAUGGUAGUGAUACCAGUUUAGUGAUGGUGAUGGAAGUACUAGAAUGAUGAUGGUAGUGAAAGCAGUUUAUGGAGGUGGUAGUAGUAAUGAUGAUGGUAGUGAUAGAAGUUUAGUGAUGGUGGUGGUAGUAGUAGUAAUGAUGAUGGUAGUUAUGGCAGUUUAGUGAUGGUGGUGGUGGUAGUAGUAGAAUGAUAAUGGUAGUGAUAGCAGAUUAGUUAUAGUGGUGGUAGUAGUAGUAAUGAUGAAGGUAGUGACACCAGUUUAGUUAUGGUGGUGGUAGUAGUAGUAGAAUGAUGAUGGUAGUGAUAGCAGUUUAGUGAUGGUGGCAGUAGUAGUAGUAAUGAUAAUGGUAGUGAUAGCAGUUUAGUGAUUGUCGUGGUAGUAGUAGUAAUGAUGAUGGUAGUGAUAGCAUUUUAGUGGUGGUGGUGGUGGUAGUAGUAGUAAUGAUGAAGGUAGUGACACCAGUUUAGUUAUGGUGGUGGU